CAGGCACACAGAAAUAACUUUAUUAUAGAAAAAAGGCAUCCUGAUUAUAGGAUCUCAUAAACACUGCAGGAAGUGAACAAGUGCAACAUUAAAACUAAAUACAAAAUAAAACAGGGGAAACCAAACCAGAAUCCCACCUGUUAAUAGAAGAUAGCAUUUAAAGAUAACACUUUCUUGGGGCCCAUCCUAAUCAGAGUAUCUUGAUCAGCAAAGUUAAAUAAUUAAUUUUUAUUUUUUUUAACACAUGAAAAAAAAGGCUGGCCCUUGAUAUUAGGGCUGGGGAGAGAGGUGUCUGCCAUAUUUUUGCCAGUUCCUUUACUGAUCUUCCCAGAGUUCUGGCCUGCUUUACUUUCUAACCUGGGACAAUCUUUCCCUUUUAAUGCAGCUUGAUCCUUCUCUCCCCGUUACCACAUUAGAAUCUGACAGCAUGCACACCUGACUGGCUGAGCCCAGCUCAGAACUCCUGGGCCUCAGCUUCUCUGAGUAGUGUUUGCCACCAAUAUCACUCCCCUCCAAAAUUCUUGUUUCUGUGACAUGAUUUCUUUUAAGUAAAGGGCUCUACAUUAUACUUUUAAGGAAUGGUUUGAUUUAACUCCUAUAUUUCAAUUUAGAUUUGUUUGCUCAUUCCUAAUGGAGGAUUCUAGAUCAACAUGCUAAGAAUCCUAUUUGUAAACUGUACCACAUUCAUUUAGGUCUCUUUCCAUAGUGAUUUGAUACAUCCACAUCAGUCUACAUUUCUGUCUUGAGUGAGGCUUAAAAUAAUUCUUACUGUUGCAUAUGAAAGUGUGGAAUUCAUUAUUCCCAACUAUCUUGGAGGGUUUAAAUAAAAAAUUCUCCCCAAUUCUCUUCCCUCAGCAGGAAUGAGAAAUUCAAUCACACAUACGCAAACUACUCUCAUCCUUUCUUCUUGUCAAAAUGCAACCUGGUAGGAUGAGACUUUUCAAACACUGAAGGACACUAACAUGAGCCUGUGUGAGUCUUAUGAUCCCGUGAUUAACUGAGAAUGGAAGUGUUCACUAUUAUAAAAUUUCUACCCCAUUUACUCUUUCUUAUUCUUGCUUCAUCCCUAUAUUGAAAAUAUGCCCAAGCUUGUGAUAACGUAAUAACAAACAGAAGAGAACUAUCAUUUUUCUUUAAAAUUCUCACCUUGGCCACCAAGGAAGAAAGAUAGUCUGAGUGCAAAUAAAACAUCUUCUUUGGAAACAAUCUGUCUUCAGGUAUGAUAAAACCUGACUAACUUAUUUAGGCACUUAGAAAAGAAAUAGAAUCAGAUUCUCCCCAUUUAUGCCAGGAAACAAAACACCUCUUCUCCAACCCCAGAGCCUAAUAUUGGGCUUAAAGAGAUGCUCUGGAACCAACACCUCUCCAUUUGCUAUCUCUGACAUUGCUAUAUAGCUUGGAAAGAUUUAAAGAGAAUUUUUUAUGAUGACUUUCCGCCCAGAGGAUUGUUACUCUGACCCUGAGAAUAUCUUUUGAUAUCUCACAAUUAACUUGAUGAACCAGGGAUUGCUACCGACAGUCAUUAGCAUUUAAUCUAGUGACAAAAGAAUACCACUUUCCUCACCCAAAUGAACUCCCAGAGUUUCUCAACUAUCAAUCCCUCAACUAUCCCCAUCAGGGAUACACUGAAUAAAUAACAAACAAUAAGAAGAAACUACUAUCUCUUGGAAGAACCUCUAUCACAACAUCAGUUUUCUCUCAGUUUAUGCCAACUUGUUUUAGCUCCAUGGACUAGAUAAUUGUGCAUACCAAUAACAAUUAGGAAAAUAAUGAAGCUGGCCCAAGAAAGCUAUCCUUCAAAUAGCACUGACAUCUUCCAAUAGAUGCAAUAGUUGUACCUUUUAAAAAACACCAAAGUAGGAGUUCCAUUUUGGAGUGUUUGCAUUUUAUAUUAAUAACAUAAAAGCUAAAUACUGAGCGGGGAUAAACAUGUACUUCAACAAGAAAAUAAAUCUUCAUUAAUGUCUUAAAAUAUACAAAUAAAGACUGUAGAAUCUGAAUGGUCUUUGCAAUGAUGAGUUUGCCUAUUCAGAAACACAAUGAAAGCACCAUUUUUGAGCAUAUCUUGAUGUGAAUUUAGUGCUAAUGAGGUCAAAGUUGUAGAUUUAAUUCUAGGAUGUGCCAAUCAGUUCCAUGCAGAGGAAACAUGGUUCCUCACACAGGCUGUAGCUCUAAUGAUAACCAGCUGAUUCACAAAUGUAUGCCAUCAAUUAAAAAAAAAAAAAAGGAGAUGGAGAAGGGCACAUGGAUGGCUCAGAAUCAAUCACCUCCACUGGAAAAGCAAUUCAGUGUCUAUCCUUCCAAUGGUGCCCCAAUAAUAUCUUGAGAAGAUGCAUUUUGGAUUUUGACAUCACCAACCAUCAAUGUGUCACAAAAAGUAGUAAACAUAGUUCUACUUAAGAACUCACU
rnacentral:lncRNA from 1 species